CGCUGGAAUGCAUCGAGAUUUAAAGCUCCGGCGCCUAAGGAUGGGUCUGCGGCCUAUCAGGUAGUAGUGGGUGUAGCGUACCUACUAGCCUACGACGGGUACGGGUUGUGAGAGCAAGAGCCCGGAGAUGGAUUCUGAGACACGAAUCCAGGCCCUACGGGGUGCAGCAGGCGCGAAAACUUUACAAUGCUGGCAACAGCGAUAAGGGAACCUCGAGUGCCAGGUUACAAAUCUGGCUGUCGAGAUGCCUAAAAAGCAUUUCAUAGCAAGGGCCGGGCAAGACCGGUGCCAGCCGCCGCGGUAACACCGGCGGCUCGAGUGGUAACCGUUAUUAUUGGGUCUAAAGGGUCUGUAGCCGGCCGGAUAAGUCUCUUGAGAAAUCUGGCAGCUUAACUGUCAGGCUUUCAGGAGAUACUGUCUGGCUCGAGGCCGGGAGAGGUGAGAGGUACUUCAGGGGUAGGGGUGAAAUCUUGUAAUCCUUGAAGGACCACCAGUGGCGAAGGCGUCUCACCAGAACGGACCUGACGGCAAGGGACGAAAGCUAGGGGCACGAACCGGAUUAGAUACCCGGGUAGUCCUAGCCGUAAACGAUACUCGCUAG
rnacentral:rRNA from 1 species